GUUUGAUUAUGGCUCAGGAUGAACGCUAGCUACAGGCCUAACACAUGCAAGUCGAGGGGCAGCAGAUCGAAAGCUUGCUUUGAUGCUGGCGACCGGCGAAUGGGUGAGUCACGCGUGUCCAACCUGCCCCCCGCCCGGGGAUAGCCCUUGGAAAUGAGGAUUAAGACCCGAUACGUGCGCUUUCCGCAUGGCGAGCGCAUGAAACUGGCGAGGGAUGGGGACGCGUCGGAUUAGCUUGACGGCGGGGCAACGGCCCACCGUGGCGACGAUCCGCAGGGGUUCUGAGAGGAAGGUCCCCCACACUGGCACUGAGACACGGGCCAGACUCCUACGGGAGGCAGCAGUGAGGAAUAUUGGUCAAUGGCCGAGAGGCUGAACCAGCCAAGUAGCGUGCCAGGAUGACGGCCCUACGGGUUGUAAACUGCUUUUGCGGGAGGAUAAAGUGCGCCACGCGUGGCGCUUUGCAGGUAUCCCGUGAAUAAGGACCGGCUAAUUCCGUGCCAGCCGCCGC
rnacentral:rRNA from 1 species